rnacentral:rRNA from 1 species
CAGGGGUGGGGGAACCUGACCGCAAUGCCGCGUGAGUGAAGAAGGCCUUCGGGUUGUAAAGCUCUUUUGUCAGGGAAGAAACACCGGCUCUAACACAGUCCGGGAAUGACGGUACCUGAAGAAUAAGCACCGGCUAACUACGUGCCAGCAGCCGCGGUAAUACGUAGGGUGCAAGCGUUAAUCGGAAUUACUGGGCGUAAAGCGUGCGCAGGCGGUUAUACAAGACAGGCGUGAAAUCCCCGGGCUUAACCUGGGAAUGGCGCCUGUGACUGUAUAGCUAGAGUGUGUCAGAGGGGGGUAGAAUUCCACGUGUAGCAGUGAAAUGCGUAGAUAUGUGGAGGAAUACCAAUGGCGAAGGCAGCCCCCUGGGAUAACACUGACGCUCAUGCACGAAA